rnacentral:rRNA from 1 species
UAGGUAACCUGCCUCUAAGAUUGGGAUAACUUGUCGAAAGACGAGCUAAUACCAAAUAAGACCACAGUCUCCUCGGGGACAGAGGUCAAAGGUAGCCUCUAUUUAUAAGCUAUCGCUGAGAGAUGGGCCUGCGUACCAUUAGCUUGUUGGUGAGGUAACGGCUCACCAAGGCAAAGAUGGUUAGCUGGUCUGAGAUGAUGAUCAGCCACACUGGAA